rnacentral:lncRNA from 1 species
GCAGUGAUCCACCAGGCGGAGUUGCAGUGAGCCGAGAUCGUGCACUGCACUCCAGCCUGGGGGAGAGAGACCCCGUCUCAAAAAAUAAAUGAAUAAAUAAAUAAUAGUCCGGGCGUGGUGGCUCACACCUGUAAUCCCAGCACUUUGGGAGGCCGAGGUAGGUAGAUCACCUGAGGUCAAGAGUUCAAGACCAGGCCGGGCGCAGUGGCUCACGCCUGUAAUCCCAGCACUUUGGGAGGCCGAGGCGGGUGGAUCAUGAGGUCAGGAGAUCGAGACCAUCCUGGCUAACAAGGUGAAACCCCGUCUCUACUAAAAAUACAAAAAAUUAGCCGGGCGCGGUGGCGGGCGCCUGUAGUCCCAGCUACUGGGGAGGCUGAGGCAGGAGAAUGGCGUGAACCCGGGAAGCGGAGCUUGCAGUGAGCCGAGAUUGCGCCACUGCAGUCCGCAGUCCGGCCUGGGCGACAGAGCGAGACUCCGUCUCAAAAAAAAAAAAAAAAAAAAAAAAAAAAAAAAAAAAAAAAAAAAAAAAAAAAAAAAAAAAAAAAAAAAAAAAGAGUUCAAGACCAGCCUGGCUAACAUGGUGAAACGCUGUCUCUACUAAAAAUACAAAAAUCAGCUGGGUGCGGUGGCUCACGCCCGUAAUCCUAGCACUUUGGGAGGCUGAGGAGGGCGAAUCACCUGAGAUCAAGAGUUUGAGAUCAGCCUGG